AAAGUUUGUGUAGAAAGAUUGGUAUUGUUUCUUUGUUACAGUUUUGUAGAACUCACCAGUGAAGUCUGCAGCCUAGAUGGAUUUUAGGGUGGGAAGAUAUUAAAUUUUGUGUUCAAUUUCAGUGAUGUAAGACUGUUCAGAUUUUGUAUUUCCUCUUAUGUUCGUUUCAGAAAAAAGUUGUUUUAAUGGAACAUGUCCAUUCCCCUAAGUUGUCAAACUUAUUGGCAUAAAAGUUGUUCACAUAUUUCCCUGUUAUCCUUUCGAUGUCUGUAGGAUCUGAAGCGAUGCCUUCUUUUCCAUUCCAAAUAUUGUUAAUUUGUGUUUUCUCUUAUUUUCUUGAUCAGUAUUGCUUAUCAACUUCAUUUGUCUUUUCAAAGAACCAACUAUUGGAUUUCUUGAUCUUCUCUACUGCUUACCUAUAUCUAUUCCAUUGAUCCAUUCUUAUCUUUGUUUUCCUUCCUUCUACUCUCAGAGUUUAAUUUUUUUGUUGUGG